AAGAUAACAACCUCCAAACUUGUCUGGACUGGGGUUGCUGCUACCAACCAGGACAGCACUUUGCACGUGGAACUAUCCUCAGACGCGCUCUUCUUGAAGAGCGCCGACUCGCUUGUCAACGUUCUCGAGGUUUACACUCAGCCCCAGGAUUACAAGAUACUCCGAGGAAUUGAUACGUAUAUCUACUGUUCGUUUGAGGGACCUCCUCAACCUUCCAUCACAUGGCAAUCCCACACGUCACUAACUUCUACGGGAACCGACGUGACAAACGGGGUUACACAGAUCACAGCCCUCGAGCCAACCACUUCUCUAACCGUCUACCAAAGCAGGCUCACUGUCAACGCUGACACGUCUGCUUCUCCUUCUUAUUGGAGCUGUAAAGCAACUUACCCCUCUUACUCUGGAAAGUACAUUUUUACUGGCGGAGAGCUGAACACUAACGUGGCCUGUCUCACACCCAUUGGUGUUACUGCGGUGUAUGGGCCCACUACCCUGACUGUUGGUGCUACUGCCACCUUUACUGCUAAAGCGGACAGUCCUCCUAAACCACAAUUUAAUUGGA